CCUACGGGAGGCAGCAGUGGGGAAUAUUGCACAAUGGGGGAAACCCUGAUGCAGCGACGCCGCGUGAGUGAAGAAGUAUUUCGGUACGUAAAGCUCUAUUAGUAGGGAAGAAAAUGACGGUACCUGACUAAGAAGCCCCGGCAAACUACGAGCCAGCAGCCGCGGUAAGACGUAGGGGGCAAGCGUUAUCCGGAUUUACUGGGUGUAACGGGAGCGUAGUCGGUAGCGCAAGUCUGGAGUGAAAUCCCAUGGCUUAACCGUGGAACGGCAUUGGAAACUGUGCGGCUGGAGUGCAGGAGAGGUAAGCGGAAUUCCUGGUGUAGCGGUGAAAUGCGUAGAUAUUAGGAGGAACACCAGUGGCGAAGGCGGCUUACUGGACUGUAACUGACGUUGAGGCUCGAAAGCGUGGGGAGCAAACAGGAUUAGAUACCCGUGUAGUC
rnacentral:rRNA from 1 species